GCGUAUGCAAUCUACCUUUUACAGAGGGAUAGCCCAGAGAAAUUUGGAUUAAUACCUCAUAGUAUAUCACAAUCGCAUGAUUGAGUUAUUAAAGUCACAACGGUAAAAGAUGAGCAUGCGUCCCAUUAGCUAGUUGGUAAGGUAACGGCUUACCAAGGCUACGAUGGGUAGGGGUCCUGAGAGGGAGAUCCCCCACACUGGUACUGAGACACGGACCAGACUCAUACGGGAGGCAGCAGUGAGGAAUAUUGGACAAUGGGCGCAAGCCUGAUCCAGCCAUGCCGCGUGCAGGAUGACGGUCCUAUGGAUUGUAAACUGCUUUUAUACGAGAAGAAACACUGCUUCGUGAAGCAGCUUGACGGUAUCGUAAGAAUAAGGAUCGGCUAACUCCGUGCCAGCAGCCGCGGUAAUACGGAGGAUCCAAGCGUUAUCCGGAAUCAUUGGGUUUAAAGGGUCCGUAGGCGGUUUGGUAAGUCAGUGGUGAAAGCCCAUCGCUCAACGGUGGAACGGCCAUUGAUACUGCCAGACUUGAAUUAUUAGGAAGUAACUAGAAUAUGUAGUGUAGCGGUGAAAUGCUUAGAGAUUACAUGGAAUACCAAUUGCGAAGGCAGGUUACUACUAAUUGAUUGACGCUGAUGGACGAAAGCGUGGGUAGCGAACAGGAUUAGAUACCCUGGUAGUCCACGCCGUAAACGAUGGAUACUAGCUGUUGGGAGCAAUCUCAGUGGCUAAGCGAAAGUGAUAA
rnacentral:rRNA from 1 species